CUCUGCUGGAUCAGUGGCGAACGGGUGAGUAACACGUGAGCAAUCUGCCCCUGACUCUGGGAUAAGCGCUGGAAACGGCGUCUAAUACCGGAUACGAGCUGCGAAGGCAUCUUCAGCAGCUGGAAAGAACUUCGGUCAGGGAUGAGCUCGCGGCCUAUCAGCUAGUUGGUGAGGUAAUGGCUCACCAAGGCGUCGACGGGUAGCCGGCCUGAGAGGGUGACCGGCCACACUGGGACUGAGACACGGCCCAAACUCCUACGGGAGGCAGCAGUGGGGAAUAUUGCACAAUGGGCGCAAGCCUGAUGCAGCAACGCCGCGUGAGGGACGACGGCCUUCGGGUUGUAAACCUCUUUUAGCAGGGAAGAAGCGAAAGUGACGGUACCUGCAGAAAAAGCGCCGGCUAACUACGUGCCAGCAGCCGCGGUAAUACGUAGGGCGCAAGCGUUAUCCGGAAUUAUUGGGCGUAAAGAGCUCGUAGGCGGUUUGUCGCGUCUGCUGUGAAACCCGAGGCUCAACCUCGGGCCUGCAGUGGGUACGGGCAGACUAGAGUGCGGUAGGGGAGAUUGGAAUUCCUGGUGUAGCGGUGGAAUGCGCAGAUAUCAGGAGG
rnacentral:rRNA from 1 species